ACGGGAGGCAGCAGUGAGGAAUAUUGGUCAAUGGAGGCAACUCUGAACCAGCCAUCUCGCGUGAAGGAAUACGGCCCUACGGGUCUUAAACUUCUUUUAUAGGGGGAUAAAGUGAGCCACGUGUGGCUUUUUGUAGGUACCCUAUGAAUAAGCAUCGGCUAACUCCGUGCCAGCAGCCGCGGUAAUACGGAGGAUGCGAGCGUUAUCCGGAUUUAUUGGGUUUAAAGGGAGCGCAGGCGGAGAUGCAAGCCAGCCGUAAAAUCGUUGAGCUCAACUCAAUCUCGCGGUUGGAACUGCAUCCCUUGAGUGCACCAGAGGGCGGUGGAAUUCGUGGUGUAGCGGUGAAAUGCAUAGAUAUCACGAAGAACUCCGAUUGCGAAGGCAGCCGCCUGGGGUGUUACUGACGCUCAUGCUCGAAGGUGCGGGUAUCAAACAGGAUUAGAUACCCUGGUA
rnacentral:rRNA from 1 species